GACGAACGCUGGCGGCGUGCUUAACACAUGCAAGUCGAACGGAAAGGCCCUGCUUUUGUGGGGUGCUCGAGUGGCGAACGGGUGAGUAACACGUGAGUAACCUGCCCUUGACUUUGGGAUAACUUCAGGAAACUGGGGCUAAUACCGGAUAGGAGCUCCUGCUGCAUGGUGGGGGUUGGAAAGUUUCGGCGGUUGGGGAUGGACUCGCGGCUUAUCAGCUUGUUGGUGGGGUAGUGGCUUACCAAGGCUUUGACGGGUAGCCGGCAUGAGAGGGUGACCGGCCACAUUGGGACUGAGAUACGGCCCAGAGUCGUACGGGAGGCAGCAGUGGGGAAUAUUGCACAAUGGGCGGAAGCGUGAUGCAGCAACGCCGCGUGCGGGAUGACGGCCUUCGGGUUGUAAACCGCUUUCGCCUGUGACGAAGCGUGAGUGACGGUAAUGGGUAAAGAAGCACCGGCUAACUACGUG
rnacentral:rRNA from 1 species